UCUGGUGUAUCGCAGUCUGGUAGCGCACCUGCUUUGGAAGCAGGAUGUCGAUGGCUCGAAUCCUCCCCCCGCAA
rnacentral:tRNA from 1 species